CACUGGAACGUUUAAAAAAAAAAUCAGCGCGAAGUAAUUGUGACGUCACAACUGGUAGUCCCCUUAUUGGAGAAGGGAGUGAGACGUUCCCGUUUGCUAUUGGCCAUUUACGAAAGACAUCCUUUCAUUUAUGGUGACGUUUGUGGUCUGUUGUGUGCCACAAGCGAACGUCACAGUACCGUCGACAGGAUCUGUUUCCGAUCGUUUAUUGCUUUACUUCUGGUUUAUCAAUGUAAGUGGUGUUUUCGGUGGAAGUCGCGUGUGAAUUUUAUUUCAUUCCUUUCUCUACUCUUUACAACCAAUCAGAGAGGAGAUAACAUCUAAUUGAUUUAUGUAUAUCCAGUAUUAUUUAUUAUAUUAUGCAAUGAUUAGACGAAAUUAAUAUAUUGAAGUUGAGAGAUUUCAAAAUCGAUAGGAAAGAAGUCAAUCGGUAAUGAAUGAUUGUAAAUAUUGAUAAAUAUCAUCGCUUUCAAUUGUAUCCUAAAUAUACUUUCCAUUUUCCAAUACUUUCUCCAUUAAUUCUAAAUUGAAAACAGGAAAAAUAAAAUCACUUAAAAGAAAUCUUUGUUUACUAAUUUCUCUGGUAAAUCAUAAAUCAAAUAUACAUAUUUUUUUAAUUACGUUUGUUGUAAUUACAAUAUACGAAAGUAAUUUAUUUAUUUACUUUCUUUAUCUUUCAAUCGUUAGGUUAAUUACGUACGGGGUGGCCCAUAAGUCAGUUAAUCAGGAAGGAAUUAAGUGUAUCUGGAAUACUCGAAAAGGUAACCGACUUUUGGUCCACCCCGUAUGUUGUGAAAAGCAUGAGUUACGCUUUGUAACUCGUGAUUUGGCUAAGUACGAAAGUCAGACAACCAGACAGACAAAUUUGCAUUUUGUCUUCUCUCUCUCAAUUACUGUAGUCUAUACACGUCUGUCUUAAAACUUGUUUUUUUUUCUUUUUUAAUUCAAAUGUAAUAAUUUAUAUUUAAAAUAAGCUUUGAAUUUAUUGAUUUUGUAUUGAAUAGGGAAUCAUUUUAUGGAAUUUCAUUUCUAUAUUUAGUUAUGGACUUAUAAAAAUCGUGUUCUUGAAGAGUAGCAAAUGAGUACUCUUCGUUAAUAAAGUCAUUGUCUGCUUCUAAAUAAAAUAAACCGUAUUUUCUUUAAAAUUCCUUACGUAAAUUCUCACCUAGGGACAUAUUAUGGCGUAAAAACGAGUAAUUCGAACCUGUUUAUGUCAUAUAUUAUAGGAAAAUUAUCGAAAAAACUGGCUUAUAAACGAGUUUAUGUAGGCAAA
rnacentral:misc_RNA from 1 species